AGAUUGAACGCUGGCGGCGUGCCUAACACAUGCAAGUCGAGCGGUAACAGGUGUAGCAAUACAUGCUGACGAGCGGCGAACGGGUGAGUAAUGCUUUGGAAUCUUCCCAGUAGUGGGGAAUAACCAGUCGAAAGAUUGGCUAAUACCGCAUACGUCUGUAAAGGGAAAGCGGGGGCUCGUAAGACCUCGCGCUAUUGGAUGAGCCAAAGUCGGAUUAGCUAGUUGGUGGGUAACGGCCUACCAAGGCGACAAUCCGUAGCUGGUCUGAGAGGACGACCAGCCACACCGGAACUGAGACACGGUCCGGACUCCUACGGGAGGCAGCAGUGGGGAAUAUUGGACAAUGGGGGAAACCCUGAUCCAGCGACGCCGCGUGUGUGAAGAAGGCCUGCGGGUUGUAAAGCACUUUUAGUGGGGACAAAAAGCUACGGAUUAAUACUCUGUGGUCUUGAUUUAACCCAAGAAAAGCACCGGCUAACGUCUGCGCCAGCAGCCGC
rnacentral:rRNA from 1 species